CAGCUUGCUGGGCGGAUUAGUGGCGAACGGGUGAGUAAUACGUGAGUAACCUGCCCUUGACUCUGGGAUAAGCCUGGGAAACUGGGUCUAAUACUGGAUACUACCGUCCACCGCAUGGUGGGUGGUGGAAAGGGUUUUACUGGUUUUGGAUGGGCUCACGGCCUAUCAGCUUGUUGGUGGGGUAAUGGCUCACCAAGGCGACGACGGGUAGCCGGCCUGAGAGGGUGACCGGCCACACUGGGACUGAGACACGGCCCAGACUCCUACGGGAGGCAGCAGUGGGGAAUAUUGCACAAUGGGCGGAAGCCUGAUGCAGCGACGCCGCGUGAGGGAUGACGGCCUUCGGGUUGUAAACCUCUUUCAGUAGGGAAGAAGCGAGAGUGACGGUACCUGCAGAAGAAGCGCCGGCUAACUACGUGCCAGCAGCCGCGGUAAUACGUAGGGCGCAAGCGUUGUCCGGAAUUAUUGGGCGUAAAGAGCUCGUAGGCGGUUUGUCGCGUCUGCUGUGAAAGCCCGGGGCUCAACCCCGGGUCUGCAGUGGGUACGGGCAGACUAGAGUGCAGUAGGGGAGACUGGAAUUCCUGGUGUAGCGGUGAAAUGCGCAGAUAUCAGGAGGAACACCGAUGGCGAAGGCAGGUCUCUGGGCUGUUACUGACGCUGAGGAGCGAAAGCAUGGGGAGCGAACAGGAUUAGAUACCCUGGUAGUCCAUGCCGUAAACGUUGGGCACUAGGUGUGGGGGACAUUCCACGUUUUCCGCGCCGUAGCUAACGCAUUAAGUGCCCCGCCUGGGGAGUACGGCCGCAAGGCUAAAACUCAAAGGAAUUGACGGGGGCCCGCACAAGCGGCGGAGCAUGCGGAUUAAUUCGAUGCAACGCGAAGAACCUUACCAAGGCUUGACAUUCACCGGACCGCCCCAGAGAUGGGGUUUCCCUUCGGGGCUGGUGGACAGGUGGUGCAUGG
rnacentral:rRNA from 1 species